rnacentral:rRNA from 1 species
UAGGGAAUAUUGCGCAAUGGGCGAAAGCCUGACGCAGCAACACCGUGUGUAGGAUGAAGGUUUUCGGAUCGUAAACUACUGUCAGCAGGGAUUAUUAUGACUGUACCUGCAGAGGAAGCAUCGGCUAACUACGUGCCAGCAGCCGCGGUAAUACGUAGGAUGCAAGCGUUGUCCGGAAUUAUUGGGCGUAAAGAGUUCGUAGGCGGUGGCCUAAGUCUGGUGUUAAAGCCCGGAGCUCAACUCCGGCAUGGCAUUGGAAACUGGGCUGCUAGAGUGCGGUAGAGGUAACUGGAAUUCCAGGUGUAGCGGUGAAAUGCGUAGAUAUCUGGAGGAACACCAGUGGCGAAAGCGAGUUACUGGCCCGCAACUGACGCUGAGGAACGAAAGCCAGGGUAGCAAA